AGAGUUUGAUCAUGGCUCAGAGCGAACGUUAGCGGCGCGCCUAACACAUGCAAGUCGCACGAGAAAGGGCUUCGGCCCCGGUAAAGUGGCGCACGGGUGCGUAACACGUAGGCAAUCUUCCCUUGGGCGGGGGAUAACGUUUCGAAAGAGACGCUAAUACCGCAUGAGACCACAGUUGCUUCGGCAGCAGCGGUCAAAGCUGGCCUCUUCAUGAAAGCUAGCACCCAAGGACGAGCCUGCGGCCCAUCAUUGCUAGUUGGUAGGGUAACGGCCUACCAAGGCUAAGACGGGUAGCUGGUCUGAGAGGAUGAUCAGCCACACUGGAACUGAAACACGGUCCAGACUCCUACGGGAGGCAGCAGUGGGGAAUAUUGGACAAUGGGCGCAAGCCUGAUCCAGCGACGCCGCGUGAGUGAUGAAGGCCUUCGGGUUGUAAAGCUCUGUUGAGGGGAAAGAAAACGGUCAGCGCGAAUAGCUCUGGCCCUUGACGGUACCCCUUUAGAAAGCACCGGCUAACUCUGUGCCAGCAGCCGCGGUAAGACAGAGGGUGCAAACGUUGCUCGGAAUUACUGGGCGUAAAGCGCGUGUAGGCGGACCCGCAAGUCGGACGUGAAAUCCCUGAGCUCAACUCAGGAACUGCAUCCGAAACUGCGGGCCUGGAGUGGUGGAGAGGGAAGCAGAAUUCCUGGUGUAGAGGUGAAAUUCGUAGAUAUCAGGAGGAACACCGGUGGCGAAGGCGGCUUCCUGGACACUUACUGACGCUGAGACGCGAAAGCGUGGGGAGCAAACAGGAUUAGAUACCCUAGUAGUCC
rnacentral:rRNA from 1 species